GGCUAAACCUUAGCUUAGGGAUGGAGGAUGGCUUAAAAAUACCGAACAGGUAUCACCUCUAAUCUGGGAACCAGGAUUCCUCCUGAGGAUGUCAGAUGACGGAAACCUGUGUGACUUGCAAGCUUCUAUAACUUUGGACUUGAUGGAUAAAGAAAGGAGUCAUAUGCCCCUGGAAGACUGCUGUCUUAGUCACAUAAAGAGAGCAUUUGAAGGUCUACUCAAGCAAAUAAAGAAACUGAUGCUGAGGGAGAUUAAAUAAUAUGCCCUAGGACAUACAAGUUACAUGGCAGAGCUGAGAUUUCCUUCGUGGUCCAACUUUAUAUCCUAAGCCAUAAUCGUUAUGUUCCUGGAUACCCAGUACUACAUAACACGGAAGCAGAAGCUGAACACACACAAGAACUGGUGAAUUAAGGGAGCAGAGGUCAUGAAAAGUUGAUGAGAUGGGGGACCAAAGAGGAUGUAGAUCCCAAGACCUAAAAGCAUCACGAUGC